ACAAUUCUAGCGGACGUGACUAUUGUACAGCCCCUUAUCUUCGAAAUUUCAGUUGUGACGUUCGGAGGAAAACAUACGAAAAGUACGGGGAAAGGCUCCUGGAUUAGUCAAACAAGGAACGAUAAGGAAAACGAGAUCAUGUUAGGUUUUUAGGUGUAGGAUUCUAAAAUCUACCCCUUAUACUUUUUGCCCGUUUCAUAAAAGUUGAACUUUUGAUUUACCGUGAAAAGUCUAACUUAUUUACCAAACAUGUAGUCUCCCCUUGGCAAAACAAGUGGUACUUAAUGUAAAGGUCAAGUAUCAUCAAAAUGUAUGGAGCCCUGAGAUAGUGUUACCAUCAAGAAUUGACGCCUAGGCCAUGUGAAUAAAUUUUUUGUCAAUGGAUACACAGACACAGAGGAAUCCUGUGGUUGACUAUUUGUAAACUUCUUUUGUGGUUGAAUAUGGUUAAAAUCACUUGAACACAAAACCAGCCUCCCUCCUGUAACAACCCUAUUUUGGCUUGAUAGCUUUCCGGGUGUGUGUGGAAUCUUACAGUAAAGCACAAAAUGAAGUAAUGAAGAUAAACACUAAUACUAGAAUGUACAGAAGUAGAGAUAAAAGGGAUGAAAUUUAAUUGUGGAAACACAAUCCUAUGUAGUGGUGAUACUGACAAGUUUCUAUUGGGAAACAUUUUACAAAACAUGUAUUUGCACCAGUGCCAAAAUCAAAUAUUGGUUAGCAAUAUUUACUGAAAUACAGAUUGUUUGCUUUGACUUUUCUGUUACAACUGGGAAAAUGUUAUAUUCAAUAAACAGGGUGACACCUUGUGCAAACUGGAAAAAUGCUUAAGAUUUGGUCUUUUAGGUUUGAUAGACUUUAAACUAUCCAGAUAUCUUUUGGGAAUUAGUAAAGAAUAAUAAACAGGGAAAAUGGAUUUGUGGAAUUAACAUUUUAAUUCAGGGAAGGCUUGUAACCAUUGGCUUGUGGUUUGGCAAUGCUAAGAUCUUACUGUGACACUAUGGGACUAAAUCUCAAUCAGUGGUGUCAGUUUCCAUUAGUUAGUCCAUCAAAAAUUCCCUACCCCUCUGACAUAAGCAAGAUUAUGAAAAGAAAAACCAGGAAAACAGAACACCAAAUAGAUGAAAAUAAGAUAGAUAUAAAAUUAGGCUCUGAUUCUGACAUCAUCACCUGAACAUUUUCUUCUGUGUUAAGACAAAGCAGGCAUUUCUUUGGAUUGCCUCGAGCAUUUUCAGAAAACAUCAAGAUAUAACUCCAUUUCAGUAAAAUCAUUUUCAAAACAUAUUGUAAUAAAAAUGUGGAUCCAACCAAUAUUCAAGAGUGCAUUUCCCACUAAUCAACAUCAAACCUCAUAAUAUCCAUCACAUGGGGUGUAAGAAAUCAGAAAAACUGAUUCAAAAUUCUAUCAACUCUUACUUAUUAAAGUGUUUGGCAAGUGACUAAAGAAACCAACUCAUCGCUCUAGUCUACCAUCACAUUUGCUGAUUGGGACAUAUGGUGAAAAGAAUAAUGAGAACACUGUGAAUCCAGCAAAAGUGGCAGAAGAGCUGCCUUUAUGACACUGGUCCUUUCUCCCUCAGAGGGUGGGAAAAUUUUCAAAAAUUUCAAAAAGAGAGUGGAAGGAAAAUGAUAUGGUAGACAGUGAAAGAAGAACAUGAUAUGUAAACUCUAUGGCACUAAGGCACUAGCGCAUUAGCGGCAGAUUUUUACUGAUGCAUUUCGCAGACAACUUCAGCACAAAUUACUAAUUAUUGCAAAAGGUCAACUACUUUUGUCAAAUCUCAAACAGGAUAUUACAAGUUUGAGCUGCGUGAGGCCAAGCCGUUGAAAUUGUGGAAAUUGAUGGAACUUCAUUCUACAACACCUCGAACAUCAGCCGCGAUUUGGAAGACUGGAUCGUCCUAACAUGUCCGUUAAAAACCCCUAAAACUUCAACAUUCAACUGCAAACAACAAAAAUACAAACUGGACGAUUUCCACGAUGUAAUAUGCAACGGUCAAUGUUAAAACAUAAAAAUUUCUUACC